rnacentral:sRNA from 1 species
CGUUGCUCAUUCACCUCGCUAUGAUUGCGCUGUUGAUGACGUCGCUUUGCGCUCAUAACACUCCGAAUGACGCCACAAGAAAGGGUGCCUAUCGUCCACUACACCGAUAACAGUCUGCUAUGCAGCUUUAUCAAACAUCGGGCGACACGUUGAGUGAGGCACCACCUA